UAGCUCUGUGGCAGAGCAUGUGCUUAGCAUGUACAAGGUCCUGGGUUCCAUCCCCAG
rnacentral:tRNA from 1 species